rnacentral:rRNA from 1 species
UACGUAGGGGGCAAGCGUUGUCCGGAAUCAUUGGGCGUAAAGCGCGUGUAGGCGGCCCGGUAAGUCCGCUGUGAAAGUCCAGGGCUCAACCCUGGGAUGCCGGUGGAUACUGUCGGGCUCGAGUCCGGAAGAGGCGAGUGGAAUUCCUGGUGUAGCGGUGAAAUGCGCAGAUAUCAGGAGGAACACCAAUAGCGAAGGCAGCUCGCUGGGACGUUACUGACGCUGAGGCGCGAAAGCGUGGGGAGCGAACAGG